rnacentral:rRNA from 1 species
UACGUAGGGAGCAAGCGUUGUCCGGAAUCAUUGGGCGUAAAGCGCGCGUAGGCGGCUUUGUAAGUUAGAGGUGAAAGCCCGGAGCUUAACUCCGGAACUGCCUUUAAGACUGCAUCGCUAGAAUCGUGGAGAGGUGAGUGGAAUUCCGAGUGUAGAGGUGAAAUUCGUAGAUAUUCGGAAGAACACCAGUGGCGAAGGCGACUCACUGGACACGUAUUGACGCUGAGGUGCGAAAGCGUGGGGAGCAAACAGG